rnacentral:rRNA from 1 species
GACGAACGCUGGCGGCGUGCCUAAUACAUGCAAGUCGAGCGAAGUCUUUCCGGUGCUUUCACCGGAAAAACUUAGCGUCGAACGGGUGAGUAACACGUAAAGAACCUGCCUCAUAGACGGGGACAACCAUUGGAAACGAUACCUAAUACCGGAUAAUAGCAUUAGCUGCAUGGCUGAUGUUUAACAGUUGUUUUUGCUAACACUAUGAGAUGGCUUUGGGGGGCAUUAGCUAGGUGGCGGGGUAAAGGCCCACCAAGGCGACGAUGCGUAGCCGACCUGAGAGGGGGAUCGGCCACACUGGAACUGAGACACGGUCCAGACUCCUACGGGAGGCAGCAGUGGGGAAUAUUGGACAAUGGGCGCAAGCCUGACGGAGCAAUGCCGCGUGGGUGAAGAAGGACUUCGGUUUGUAAAGCUCUGUUGUUGGGAAAGAAAAGCAGUGGGGUAAUAACCCGCUGUAGUGACGGUACCUAAAGAAAAAGCAACGGCUAACUACGUG